ensembl:lncRNA
GAGACUGAGAUGGCACAGGAGAGGCCGAGAAGAGCUACCCCACAUCCAAGGUCAGGGGUGGCAGCCGACAGGAGCUACCCCAUGUCCAAGAGAAAAUAGCAGCCACCCAUUUCUGCAUCUGGGCUGUAUCCACACACCUGGUUCUCUGAAGUUAAAGUUUGUCUGUCACCGGGACUUUGCUCCCAGCUCUCUGUUACCCAGGGAAAGCAUGGAAAUGGUGUCACCACAGAGCAAACGCCUGUCCUAUUGUCCUUGCAUGCUGAGCUGGUCCGAAUUCUCCGGAGUGCAGUGGUCAUGUGAAGGGAAACGCAGAAGCUGUGUGCUGAAAAGCUGGAUUCUGAAUACAGGGGAGAGACUACCUGGCUGACCCACAGAUGUUUCCUGGGAAGAGCAAGAGAACCACAGGAAAUCUCAUAGGGACACAGGCAAGACUGGGAUGCUCCUGGAUUCUGAACUUAAGAAGAUAGGACAUAAACAAAAACAUUGCAAAGAUGGAAAAUUAAGAGCUGUUGUAAUGGUGUGCUAGAUCUGGCUCUUAGAGUAGAUUAAAUUUUAGAGAGUAGAUAAUUUUGUGCUAUUAAUGCGUAUGUGGUCUAGGUGCUUAGUUGGUAAGUUGUUUCUGACUCCUUGCAACCCCAGGGACUA